UACGAAGGGGGCUAGCGUUGCUCGGAAUCACUGGGCGUAAAGCGCACGUAGGCGGACUCUUAAGUCGGUGGUGAAAUCCUGGAGCUCAACUCCAGAACUGCCUUCGAUACUGAGAGUCUUGAGUCCGGGAGAGGUGAGUGGAACUGCGAGUGUAGAGGUGAAAUUCGUAGAUAUUCGCAAGAACACCAGUGGCGAAGGCGGCUCACUGGCCCGGUACUGACGCUGAGGUGCGAAAAGCGUGGGGGAGCAAACAGGG
rnacentral:rRNA from 1 species